CUAGAGGUUUUAAGCCCAUUCCUUUGUGUUUUGUAGUAAUUCUCUCAUUUACACGUGAACCUCUUUUCGCUUUCGGGGCGAGGCCUCAUGGCUAGUGACGGUCCGUUUGACAUACCUUGGGGGUUGAGUUUAUUGACCUGUCCUCAGACUCAGAGUCCCCGGAGAAAAACCCUCAUCAUGACUAUGACUCCUUAAGGCAGGCCCGUAUCCGCCAUCUUGAGCACAUGGCUGAACUUAGGCGUAAAAUUUGGGAGGUGGAGAGCGAAAUUGACUCGGCGUUGAGAGGAGACGGAGCACCUUUCCCCCCAGACCUUAGUGACCAUGUAGCGAGCCUUAGGGUGACCCUUUUAGAGUUGCAAAGGGAGUUGGAGUUCAUGGAGAGACACCUUCCGCCUGAGCCCUCCAGCCCAUCCUCGCCUGAUGACUGUCAUGGGGCUGCUUCCGCUUCUCCUCAGCCCUUAAUCUCGAUUUUCUCUAGCUUAGCACUUCCGCAGUCGCUCUCUCGAUGGAAGACUCUUGCUAGGAAGAAAAAAUGGAGGGUCAAGUGUUCUGUCUCUUCCUCACCUUUUUCUUUUGAUUUUGCAGAUAUGCCGAGGGCACGACGACAGGUAUUUACCCAUGAACCGAACGGCGCUCCUUUACUGGCGUCCGAGCUGGUGUCGCAUGUGUCGGAGAAUAAAUUGAAAGAAAUUGUGAAGCACUAUCAUGUUCCCCCAGAAUACGCCUUAUACGCUCCUCUAGAGACAUGCCGGGCUGACCGCCCUAGGACUGGCCUCGUGGCUCUUAGCGAGCACAUUUUGAAGGCGGGUGGCACCAUCCCCUUGCACCCGUUUUUCGUAGCGAUCCUUAACUAUUUCGACCUGGCCCCCCUUCAUCUGUCACCCAACAGUUGGUUGACCUUGAGCUGCCUUUUUGUGGUGUUCGCGGUACUGGCUAAACGUGCUCCUACGGCGCAACAGGUGCACUUCCUGUACAACCUCAUGCCCUCUCCCAAGUCCAAGGGCUUCUACUAUUUGCAAAAGGCCAAUAACGAGCUCCCCUUGAUAGAGGGUUCAGUGUCCAAUAUGGGGUCUUGGAAACAGGAGUUUUUCUUCGUAGAGGGCCCUCUCUCUGUCCGCGAGCACUUCCGCACCACCCCCAGUAAGUACCCUAGGCCUCAUUUUCUUUUUGUUGGAACUCACAGCUUUGUACUUAUGUUUGCAUUGACAAUGGCGCGGAUCAUGUAGAGCAAUUUGCCGUUCCCGUGGUCGUUGGGUCGGAGGCGGAUGCCGUGAAGGACCUCAUUAAUGCUGACCCCGCCAUGAAGAAGGCGACAUUCUUAUUCACCAUGGAAAAUCUCAACCUCCACCAGUUGUCCCCGGUUUCGGACCCCAAGUUACUGUGGUCGAUUUCUGGGUCAAAGAAGGCAAUGGCUGCGCCAGUUGAGCCUUUCCCAGACGAAGGUGAGGCUGGGGAUGAGCCGGGGGAAGCCACCCUUGAACGCGGGGGACCUCACUAGCGAUCCUCGUCCCCCGGGGGAUGCCCCCCUUAUGUCUCUUAUGACCAGGACAUAGCCUUCCCAUCUCAAGACCAGCAUGUUGUACCGGGGUGCUUUGUUUGCCCCGACCCUGUGGGCUAUGACGCUUUCACUCAGGCUCCUCUCGACCCUGGACCAUCGAGGGCUUAUUUCGCUGAUCUUCCAGAGCCUCCCUCUGAUCUACCGGGGCCUCACUUUUCCACUUUCACCGCGCCCCCUCCCGUUUCGGCGAGCGGGUCGUCUGUCCUCACCCAGCCAGGUGCCCCUGGUGCGGAUGGGGAACCCUGGGUGACUCGGAUGUCGAUGUCUUACGGACAGCGAUACAUCCAACUUGCCUCGGGCCUCCCCGUGUCUGACUGGAACAGUCUUGGGAAUGUUGCUCAGUCGGACCUUGGGGAAACCCUAAGGCGCACCAUGGCUUGGGCCUAUACCGUGGCUCUGCGGUUUUCCAACUCGUCUAGCAACCUCUCCGCGUCUACUACUGAGAGGGACCGCCUUACAGCCCGGGUCCAGGAGCUCGAGAAAGAGUUUGAAGAAACCCAGACUGAGCUAAAGAAGGUUCGGACCAAACUUGCUGCCUCGUCGAGAAGGAAGCUGAAGGCGGUUGCCAAGGCCACAAAGCUGAAGGACCAAGUUACCAGCCUGAAGAGCGAACUCCAGGCAACAAAGGCUAUCGCGGCAGCGUCACAAGAGAGGGUUACUUAUUUAGAGGCCGAAGUCAAGGCUACCAGGGGAGAACUCUAGGCUGCUAGGGCCGAUGUCGCCUCAUUGCAGGAGAGAAAUGCUUCCUUAGAGGCGGAGAAGACUGCCAUUGAGUACCGAUCCAUAGACCGCGCCCUUUACAACGUGUGGAGGCAGGAUCCCAAUUUUGAUUUUUCUUCUUUCGGUGAGCACGCCGUUGCUCGGGCGGCCGUGUGGAGCGCCCGUGGUAGGAGGCCCUGAAGUUGUUAUUUCAUAACUUUUGUCAGCUAGCCUGCUAUGGGUGUACGCUCUUUUUUGAGACUUUGUAAUAUCAUUAUCAUUACUAUUUUUCUUUUGUAAAUCUUGUCAUGUCCUGAAGACUCCCUUUUUUUUACGUAUAUAUACAUGUGUGGUUAUUUAUCUCUUAUUCCACUGCAUUUGAGGCCUUUUUGAGCCUGUAUGAUGGGAUUCGGCGGGUUCCCCUCU